AUUGAACGCUGGCGGCAGGCCUAACACAUGCAAGUAGAGCGGAGCGGCGGACGGGUGAGUAAUGCCUAGGAAUCUGCCUGGUAGUGGGGGAUAAAGUCCGGAAACGGGCGCUAAUCACGCAUAAUAUCAGAUGAGCCUAGGUCGGAUUAUCUAGUUGGUGGGGUAAAGGCCUACCAAGGCGACGAUCCGUAACUGGUCUGAGAGGAUGAUCAGUCACACUGGAAGUGAGACACGGGCCAGACUCCUACGGGAUGCAGCAGUGGGGAAUAUGGGACAAGGGGCGAAAGCCUGCUCCAGCCAUGCCGCUUGUGUGAAGAAGGUCUUCGGAUUGUAAAGCACUUUAAGUUGGGAGGCGUUACCAACAGAAUAAGCACCGGCUAACUUCGUGCCAGAAGCCGCGGUAAUAC
rnacentral:rRNA from 1 species